rnacentral:rRNA from 1 species
AACGCUAGCUACAGGCUUAACACAUGCAAGUCGAGGGGCAUCAGGGUAGCAAUACCGCUGGCGACCGGCGCACGGGUGAGUAACACGUAUCCAACCUACCGUUAACUCGGGGAUAGCCUUUCGAAAGAAAGAUUAAUACCCGAUAGUAUAUUUUCUUCGCAUGUUGAAAAUAUUAAAGAAUUUCGGUUAUCGAUGGGGAUGCGUUCCAUUAGGCAGUUGGCGGGGUAACGGCCCACCAAACCUACGAUGGAUAGGGGUUCUGAGAGGAAGGUCCCCCACAUUGGAACUGAGACACGGUCCAAACUCCUACGGGAGGCAGCAGUGAGGAAUAUUGGUCAAUGGACGAAGGUCUGAACCAGCCAAGUAGCGCGAAGGAUGACUGCCCUAUGGGUUGUAAACUUCUUUUAUAUGGGAAUAAAGUUCUCCACGUGUGGAGUUUUGUAUGUACCAUUAUGAAUAAGCAUCGGCUAACUCCGUGCCAGCAGCCGCGGUAAUACGGAGGAUGCGAGCGUUAUCCGGAUUUAUUGGGUUUAAAGGGAGCGUAGGUGGACUGGUAAGUCAGUUGUGAAAGUUUGCGGCUCAACCGUAAAAUUGCAGUUGAUACUGUCAGUCUUGAGUACAGUAGAGGUGGGCGGAAUUCGUGGUGUAGCGGUGAAAUGCUUAGAUAUCACGAAGAACUCCGAUUG